UGUUUGGACACAGUAACAAGCAUAAACUGAUCACCAAGGAGAUUCUUCAGUUCUUGCAUGACACAGGACUGUAUGUAAGAAUUUAGUUUAAAUUUUGACCUGUGGAGGGCAGUAAUACGCUUAGCAGCGUCUACACUGCCGGAAUCCUACAAGAAGAAGAAGAAGAACUGGCCUUAUCAGGAGAAUUUUAGAAGGUAUCAAUGAAGCCUCCAAUACAGUAGGUGGCGGCAUUGCACCUUUUACGAUGGUCUGGAACACACCAAGAAACUAAACGAAGAAGCAGCAGCUUUGUUAACUUUUCAUCAAGAUGGCGCGACGCUCACGUAAACAAGCUGUCCAGGUGAACAUGGACAGUGAUGAAGAGUUCACCUUUUCCUCGGAAGAAGACGAAGACUUUGAAGAUGAGCGCUUGCAUUUUGAGGAUCGAAUUGAUCCAGUGGAGGAUACCAACGAUGGCAGUUAACGGACGAAAAAAAAAAAAAUGUACCAGUGACUCAUCAAAAAGAGUUUUCCUGCCUUUUUUUUCUGUCAGCUGGAUUGCCGUCAUAACGGUGAUAACAUUAACUGUUUGUGGUCUGGAACAUGUCAUCUGCAACAUCGGAGGUGUAUGUUGGAUCCUUUUCAUUGCCAUCAUGGUGACAUCAACUGCUGCCAUUUCCUUGACUGUACACCGCUGCUCUCCACGAACGCACAGAACGGGUGACGCUUUGAGGAGGAGGAAAAAAAGGUUUUUCCUAUAAACUAUCAUAACACUAAAAGGCUGCUGUGACUCUUAAAGGAGAGUCUGUUCUCCAAGCAAAAACAUGGAUGCUGACUAUGAAGGGAAGAAUCAUCAUCCAGCCACAACAGCAACAGACUCUUCUUCAGCAUUAUCUGUCCGUUUUGUCGGAAUGCAGAAUUGGGUUCUGAGAAUCAAUCCUGAUGACACCAAAGUCACAGAUCAGAUGGAAAUCUCUAAAGGUCCAAAGAAAAAUCAGCCUGAACCCCUCAUGGUGUUUCUCAUCAGAAAGCUUGUCAACUUUGAUUGCCAAAAUUACUGAAAUGUAACAACACAAACUGACUUUUACUGUAUUUUUAAGGCCUGUAUGUUUUUGCCACAGAUAUAAAUGGUCCCUGGGAGACGGUUGGUGGUGUUGCCUUUUUUUUUCUUCAGCUAGUGGCUCCUAGAGGUCAAGAUUUGUAAUUUGUACUUCUAAAAAAAAAAAAAAAAAAAAAAGUUUAAAAUUACUAAAAGGAAUAUUAUAAGGACAAAUGUUCAUGAGUUUCAUUUUUGGGGGAGUGGUAAAAAAAAAAAAAAAAAAAGGUUUACAAUUCUGUACCGCAAUUGGAUCAUUUUAUACAAGUAAAAAAUAAACUCAACAGUAUACUGGAAAUGACAACAUGAUACUGUAAAUAAAACAAAGUACUGUAAUUGUCAAUACAAUAAUACUGUAAAAUCUUUUACAGUAAAUUAGUCAUUCAGCUGCUAGUAAGUUGCUGUAAAAUUUACAGCAAUCUCUACAGUGUACCUACCGUACCCAUCCACCACACCCAAGAUCCAGUUUCCAUUGGUUGAACUUUCAAAUGACGUUAAAAUACUCUGCGUCAUGAUCGUGAUGCAGUUGGAUCUCAGAAGUCCUGUAGCUUUAGCAUAGUGUAACAAGUUGAAAUCGUCCACUAAUCUCUACAUAGUCUAUGGCAUUUGACUGCACUCUAUGUGUGUGUGUGUGUGUCAAUCAGCUCCCUAGUUCAGCAGUUGGGGCACUGAUUCGGCCAUUUUAAAGGCUGUCUCAAUCUUAAAAUCAUACCAGUGAAAACCCUCACGGUCUUCCUCCGAGUCCGCACUUUUGUGACGUAAUGCCGCUUUGACUGCCGGGUAAAGUCUUCUGCGUAGCUCGCAAACUUGUGGGCUCAGCUGAAGUGCUCAUCGAGGGUGCAUAGCAGCCACAAAGGGGGCGUUCGCGAGCACCCUUCUGAAACAUAAAAUGAUGAAUGGGACACCUUUUGGUCUCGUGGUCUUAACAGACACGCCAUUGUAAAUCCACAAGAUCGAAAGUGCAUAGAAGUGUGCCAUUUGGGAUUCAGCCUUGGUUCGCUUGACAAAUUCUAAAGCGCAAAAUAUAAAUCACGUGGGCCAACACACAUAAUGUGAUAGAUUUUUUUUAUUUUUAUUUUUUUUUUGUAAAUACAUUUUUUUUUUUUUUUUUUUUUUUUUUAUAGGGUGUUCACACUUGGCAGGUUUGGUUUGAUAAAAACGAACCCUGGUGCAAUUGCUCUGUUGGUUCAUUUGAAUAAGUGAACGCUGCAAACUAAGUGUGAUUAUCCUUAAUUUAAGGAUAAACUUGCGUUGUUACACAGGUAAUGAACAUAAUCUAGCUAACAUUUAUUAUUUACAGCUGAAAUGUUGCAUGUCUAUAUAACAAGCAAAGUAUCAGAAUGUACUUUAAAUAACAUUAAAAAAAUAAUGAAAGCAGUUCUGCUGUUGUUCAUAUAUAAACCAGUAGUGAUGUUGUACAAUGAGGACAAAUGCUAUGUUCCGUAAAAAAUAGGACAAUUGUCAAAUAAAGAAAUAAAAAAAAAAUAAUCUAACUACAAGAAGCAGCAAAAAUAAAUACAUGAGAGCUAAGAUACAAAUAAAAUAAACAAUGCUUUACAGGUUUUCAGGUACAGAAAUUGAAGUAAUCAAAUAUAAAAUAACACUGCAUUUAAACUUCUUUGAAUAAAUUAAAUAACGAUUAAACAUUAUUGAAGUUACAAAAGCUAUUCAGUCAAGUGUAGUGAGAGAUUUCUUCGUCUUAUGUCGUUUGAUUAACAUUAAAAACAGCAGGAAUAUUAGACUGCUGUCCCUUUAAGACAUAAUUCAAAGAGAUAGAUAGAUAUAUAUAUAUAUAUAUAUAUAUAUAUAUAUAUGUAUAUAUACAUCCUGUUCUGUAUGGUAAGUGUGAAUUCAUAAAACUAUUUUAAAUAAUAUGUUUGCUAGAACAUAAAAUUUGUUCAAUGCAUCUUUUUUUUUUUUUCCCCAAACUAUUUUCUAGCCCGACGUUGUUUCGAGCCGUUUAUUCCCGCUCCAGCUGAAUUCAAAUCUUGCACGCGCUGACAUCCGAGAGAUUUAACUUACACGAUUUAGAAGAAGCCUGCUGGCCUCAGUUAUUGCGUGCUGACAGAAUCCUGCAUUUUCAGACGUUUAUAUCAGAUGAAGCAGACACAACUGUCCUCAGAAGCUUCAAAUACAGCACUGAAGGAAGAGCUGCAGCUGACUUUUGAUUCAUGUGAGGCAGACAAGGACAGAAAAGGCCAGGUGGUAAAUGCUGCCAUUCUUCUCGAAUACUGUUAACUUACUCUUCAAAGAACAGAGUCAUCAAUCAGGAUCCUUUCAUCUGAAAGACUGUGGCAAUGGGGACCCUUUGAACCACCAGUGGCAGUUUCUACAGGAUGAGAAAGGACAUGGUAGAGGAUGACAGGGGUCUUGAUAUCUCACUGACAUUAUCCUGCUGUACUGACUGUAUCACACACACAUACAGUGGUCAAAAGUUUACAUCACAUUGCAGAAUCUGAAAAAUCUUAAAAUAAGAACGAGUUGUUUUUUUCAUUCUUAAUACUGUUGUUACCUAGAUGAUCAAUGAUUGUUUUUUUGUUUGUUUUGUGAUAAUUGUUCAUGAGUCACUUGUAUGUCCUGAGCAGUUAAACUGCACAUUGUUCUUCAGAAAAAUCCUCCAGGUUCCAAAAGUGACUGUAUGAUGUGAUCUAUCUAUUCACACUGAAGACAACUGAGGGGCUGUUGUUGUUCAUUACACUAUGCUUUUAAUUAUUCUGAUAUGGUCAAUUUCACAUUAAAAUGUCUGAUAAAGAAAUUUUAAAUCAGUUGAUUCGUUUUACUGCAAGAAUUUUAAUUGUAUUUUUCAUUGAUUAAAUGAUAUGAUGUUAAGUCAGUAGACAUAGAAGUUCAGCUAUCUAGUAAAACCCUAAUAAAGCUUUUAAUGUGGAAAAACAAAACUUGUUUUGAUUAUCAAUUAUUUAAUAGUAAUAUAAAUAUAAUUUAUUUAAAAGUAAACACAAUAUAAACUUGAAAGUUUGAGUUUAGUCUAUUUGCCUUUUAAGUUCUGUACUUAAACAUUUGAGUUAAUUCAAUGAAAAGACCACAUUAGGCCAACUCAAUUAAACUGAGUUGUCAUUUCCCCAUUACUCAAUUGAAUUGAGGGAAUCACUUUCCUCAAUUCAUUUGAGUAGUCUCAACUUAUUAGGGUUUACAGUGUACAUAAGAAUGAACCUCACUGGUUCUCGCACUUCAAGCUAACAUGCUCGAGCUUCCGUUUACCAUAUCUGAUGUGUAUGUUGAUGAAUGGUUAUAUGUUCAAUAAAAUCCUGAAUUCAA